rnacentral:misc_RNA from 1 species
GUUUUUGGAUGACUACAAGGCCAUCAGACCAACACGAUAUUCUUAUGCUGAUAUUAAGAAGGUAACAGAUGAUUUUAAUGAAAAGUUAGGAGAAGGGAGUUAUGGAACUGUAUACAAAGGCAAACUUUCCAGUGACAUCUAUGUUGCAGUAAAAGUCCUACGCGAUUCCAAGGGUAAAGGGGAAGAAUUUAUCAAUGAAAUUGAUACGAUUGGGAGAAUCCACCAUGUUAAUGUGGUCCGUUUGGUUGGUUUUUG